GAUGAAGAACGCAGCGAAAUGCGAUAAGUAAUGCGAAUUGCAGAAUUCCAGUGAGUCAUCGAAUCUUUGAACGCACAUUGCGCCCUUUGGUAUUCCGAAGGGCAUGCCUGUUCGAGCGUCAUUAUCACCCCUCAAGCCCUCGGCUUGGUGUUGGACGGUUUGGAGGAGGCCCCCUCGGGGGCUCCUGCCCCUCCCAAAGACAAUGACGGCGGCCUCGUUGGACCCCCGGUACACUGAGUUCUUCACGGGACACGUAUCGGACACAUGGGUUUACGGGACACGGUCUGCCUCCCCUCAGGGAGAAUCUUUCUAAGGUUGACCUCGGAUCAGGUAGGGAUACCCGCUGAACUUAAGCAUAUCAAUAAGCGGAGGA
rnacentral:misc_RNA from 1 species